ACAAAACGUACAAGAAAAGUAAUUUUCAUCCUCGACUUGGGGGAGGGCGUUGAGGUAACAGAUGUAUCCAUCACCGACUCAGAUUAACUGUCUACCACAUAACUCAAGAUUUCCGUGUUUCCUCUACACUCUACCAGGUUCUGGGCCAAGCAGCUGUGCAGUUAUUUAGAUAAUUUUUUCUUCUUGGGUGACUAAGUGUCCUUUUUGUUAAACGUAACAGAAAUGUGAAGUUGGGGAU